GAUGAACGCUGGCGGCGUGCCUAAUACAUGCAAGUCGAGCGAACAGACGAGGAGCUUGCUCCUCUGACGUUAGCGGCGGACGGGUGAGUAACACGUGGAUACCCUACCUAUAAGACUGGGAUAACUUCGGGAAACCGGAGCUAAUACCGGAUAAUAUAUUGAACCGCAUGGUUCAAUAGUGAAAGACGGUUUUGCUGUCACUUAUAGCUGGAUCCGCGCCGCAUUAGCUAGUUGGUAAGGUAACGGCUUACCAAGGCGACGAUGCGUAGCCGACCUGAGAGGGUGAUCGGCCACACUGGAACUGAGACACGGUCCAGACUCCUACGGGAGGCAGCAGUAGGGAAUCUUCCGCAAUGGGCGAAAGCUUGACGGAGCAACGCCGCGUGAGUGAUGAAGGUCUUCGGAUCGUAAAACUCUGUUAUUAGGGAAGAACAAAUGUGUAAGUAACUAUGCACGUCUUGACGGUACCUAAUCAGAAAGCCACGGCUAACUACGUG
rnacentral:rRNA from 1 species